rnacentral:lncRNA from 1 species
UUUUUUUUCUUACAAAAGUACUCAAAUUUUCUUUAGCUCCGGCCCCAGGCCUUCUCGACUGGAAGCCCAACAGGGGACGAGACACAAACACCUCAAAAUGCGUCCCUCCGGCUAAUUCCAGGUUCCGUGGGCAGCCCGGGUGGCUCAGCGGUUUAGCGCCACCUUCCGCCCGGGGCGUGAUCCUGGGGACCUGGGAUCGAGUCCCACGUCAGGCUCCCUGCAUGGAGCCUGCUUCUCCCUCCGCCUGUGUCUCUGCCUCUCUCUCUCUCUCUCUCUCUCUCAUGAAAAAAUAAAUAAAAUCUUUUAGGGAUCCCUGGGUGGCGCAGCGGUUUAGCGCCCGCCUUUGGCCCAGGGCGCGAUCCUGGAGACCCGGGAUCGAAUCCCACAUCGGGCUCCCGGUGCAUGGAGCCUGCUUCUCCCUCUGCCUGUGUCUCUGCCUCUCUCUCUCUCUCUCUCUGUGAGACUAUCAUAAAUAAAUAAAAAUAAUAAAAAAUCUUUUAAAAAAUAUUAUUUCCAAGUUCCGUGGCACAGUGGUUUUCCAAAUGGUUUAAGCAUCACCUGGAGAGGGAGUUUAAAAAAAAAAAAAAAAAAAGGCAGAUUCCUGGUCUCCCACCCCCCGGGGGUUUCUAAUUGAAGGGAAUGCAAAUGUUCCUUUUAGGAGCACUCGGGGGUGGCUAGCUGGAGAUCUGAAGAUAUAACCUGUCCCCCAAGGAGAUCACAAUCUACUCGCAGUCUAAUGUCAUGAAUCAGGGGGCAGCAGGGCGCUGUGGAAGUGAGAGAAGGGGAACCUAGUCCAGCCUGGGCUGGAGGCCCAGGGAGGCUGAGGGGAAUGGUGGUGAGGGGGAGCUAGUUGCGGGGUGGGCCAGGGCAGGGCCUGCGGAGGACAGGCGGGGAGGGCCACCUUGAGUAGGUCUUACUGCUUAUGCUUCAGAUGCAAGCCCAAGGGCGGGGCCAUCUGGGUGGCCCAGUUGGGUAAUUGUCUACCUUCAGCUCAGGUCAUGAUCUCAGGUUCCUGGGAUGGAGCCCCACAUCCGGUUUCCAGAGUCUGCUUCUGCUUCUCCCUCUGCCCCUCCCCUUGCUCCUGCUUGUUCUCUCUCUCAAAUGAAUACAUAAAAAUCUUCAAAAAAAAAAAAAAAAAAAGAUAGAAGCCAGAGGGUAUAGCUGACUAUACUGUGACCCCUAUUAGAACAAAUCACUAACCUUCUAUUUCUUUCCCUAGGAACAAGCCUUUAUUUUCCAUUAUUUAUCAUUUCUUCUCCCUGCCUGUAAUACCUUGGCCAACUCCCUACCUUCCUUUGGCAGAAAAAAACAAAAAACUUUGUGCAGGACUACAUUUGAAAGGAAAAAAAUGAACGUGCUGACAGGUGUCAAUUAUAUUGGAGAUUUACAAGGUGCCAAGCACCCGUCUGUUGACUCUAAAGUGCUGUACAAAGGUGAGUUAUUAUUCCAACAGCAAUAUCGUCAUGAUGAAGCAGGAGGCGUCCAUUCACUCAGUUUACACUGAUCAUGUGCACACGCAUGCCAGCUCUAUGCUAGGUGCUGUGGGUAGAAAGAGGAGGAAGACCUACCCUCUUCUUUAAAAGAAUAACUUCUUUUUCUUCUUGCUCUUUAUUUCCUUAAACUUCUCUUUUCAAUGAGAUUUAAAGUACACUCACAAAUCUUCUGUUGUUCCAAAUCCCCAAGCCCUGUGUGGCCUGGUGCCCACUCUGCUCUGAAAGAUGCUUCCUGUGGGACAGCUUAAAAUGGUUCCUUGGAGACGCUGCAAUGCUCUUGACAACUCAAAGGUAUUGCUUUCAUCCAGCCUUUUAGGAACAAGCAAUGGCACCAGGGAGGUCCAGGAGUGAUGUGCCAAAUAUUUAACCACCAGCUCCAACUGGGUCCCAGAGGCCUCCAGCUGCGCCAGGGGUUAACCCUUCAGAUGCUGGAUCAUGGGGCACAGAGGAAGAGGGAACCAGACCCAUGAAGGAUUACUAGGCGCUCUGAGCAGCAGCCAUGAAGCACCCGAUCCAGAAGUCUCUCAGCAUUCAGGAGCAGGUAUGGCUAAUGCCAGUGAGUAUCAGUCGAAUUUCAGUCCUCGGAAGGCCCAUAUAUGUAAUGCAUAUUCUUCAUGAAGGAAGAAGAUGGGGGGAUCCCCGGGUGGUGCAGCGGUUUGGCCCAGGACGCGAUCCUGGAGACCCAGGAUCGAAUCCCACAUCAGGCUCCCGGUGCAUGGAGCCUGCUUCUCCCUCUGCCUGUGUCUCUGCUUCUCUCUCUCUCUCUGUGACUAUCAUAAAUAAAAUAAAAAUAAAAAUUAAAAAAUUUAAAAAUUUAAAAAAAAAAAAAGGAAGAAGAUGGCCUCUUUUUUUUAUUCUCAAUGGUCAAAUAGUGCAGAUCACAACAAUAUGAUGAAUUUCUCCACUGGCAAGGGAGACCAGCCUUAUAGAAGUUCUGUGAGAGGAAAAAUAUAAAUCUUGACCUCUUGUCUCUUGAUUAGAAUAAAAAAAUAAGGGACACCUGGGUGGCUCAGCGGUUGAGCAUCUGCCUUUGGCUCAGGGCGUGAUCUCAGUCUUGGGAUGGAGUCCCACGUUGGGCUCCCUGCAUGGAGCCUGCUUCUCCCACUGCCUGGGUUUCUGCCUGCCUCUCUCUCUGUGUCUCUCAUGAAUGAAUAGAUAAAAUCUUUAAAAAAAAAAAAAAAGAAUCAAAAUAAUAACGGAUAGCUUACUGUUUUCACUUAAAGGCCAUGUGCCUGUUUCUGAACUGUUUUUGACAGCUACGUAAUAAAAAAAAGAUAACCUUUUACUGUUGGUUUUUUCAUGGUUAGCUGGGGGAUUGGAAUUAGCUGAUGAAAAGAGAAGUAGCAAAGAGAACUCAAUUUGAGAAGGCAGGAAGGCAGAGAGGUGAUGCUGUUGUUUCUAGCAAAUCCCCUGCCCUAGAAGUUUCCUCUUUGGAAGCAGGGACAUGAACAGGGUGAAGGCGGAAGCAGGCAUCUGGUUUGGGGAAAUUAGAAGAAUGAAGCAUCUGGACAUGAUGCUAAGAGAAAUAUCGAGUAGGUGGAUAGUAAUCAAGAGGUGGGGUGGGAAAUUACAGAGACCCCAGGCUAGGAGAUAUUUGCAAACGGAAUUGUCAAGGGGAAGAUGGGAUGAUGCGGCACCAACAUCUGUCAAGAAUAAGAGGCAGGAGGGGCACCUGGCGGACUCAGAUGGUUAAGUGUCUGCCUUUGACUUAGGUCAUGAUCUCCAGGUCUUGGGAUCGAGCCCCAGAGCCCCAUGUUGGGCUCCUCCCUCAGUGGGGAGUCUUCUUCUUCCUCUCUCCCUACUUGUGCUCCAUCUCUCUCAAAUAAACUUAAAAAAAAAAAAUCUUGGGCAGCCCCAGUGGCUUAGGGGUUUAGCACCUCUGUCAGCCUGGGGUGUGAUCCUGGGGACCUGGGAUCGAGUCCCGCAUCGGGCUCCCUGCAUGGAGCCUGCUUCUCCCUCUGCCUGUGUCUCUGCCUCUCUCUGUAUCUCUCAUGAAUAAAUAAAUAAAAUCUUAAAAAAAAUAAAUCUAAAAAAUUUUAAAAAAUUUUUAAAAAGAAUAAGAGGUAGGAGGAAAAAAAGGAUUUGGAGGAGUUGAGGACCAACUUCCACUUUCAGCACAGAAAUAAUUUUUUCCAUAUAUUUAAAAAUUUUCAGACUUUUUAAAAAAGAGAACCCUAGGUCAGGAAUAUUAUACAGGGGAAAAAAGGAAUAUUAUACAGGAACAGUAUAUUAACUUUGUUGAGUGCUUAUGACAUGCCAGGGACUGUUUGCAAUACUCCAAGCUCUUAACUCCUUGAAUCCUCACAACCCUGACACGGUGUAAGUUAUCCCCAUUUUACAGAUAAGGAAAUGCAGUUGGAGAGAGCGCUCCCGACUUAAAGCGGUAGGGCGCGGAUUUGAAGCAGGUGGUCUCUACAGCUGACACUCGUCACCAACAACCCAAAAUAACAACAGAGAGAUUGAGGGCGGCCUGCAGGCCAGAAGAUAGUCACAGCAGCCCCCACGUACUGGGUGGUGAGCAUUCAUACCAGAAGCUUUACAUAAGCUCUCAAAGCUUGACAAAGCUCUCAUGUUCAGUAUAUAACCCCAGGAAGUAGGUAUCACAAUCCCUUCCCAAUUUUAAGUUCCUGGAACCCAAAAUAUGAGCACAUACACACACACACCUCUAUGUACCUUUCUGGCAAGGCUGAUAACUAUGGUUCUGGCUGUAGUAAACAUAAAUCAUUCCUACUGGGAUAAUUAGGGGAAAAAAAGGAAUGAAAGGCUGGGAAGAAAAGGAAAAGCAGGGGCAGCCCCGGGGCGCUCAGUGGUUCAGCGCUACCUUUGGCCCAGGGCCUGAUCCUGGAGAUCCAGGAUCGAGUCCCAUGUCGGGUUCCCGGCAUGGAGCCUGCUUCUCCCUCUGCCUCUAUGUCUCUCAUAAAUAAAUAAAAUCUUAAAAAAAAAAAAAAAAAAAA